AUUGAACGCUGGCGGCAGGCCUAACACAUGCAAGUCGAGCGAGCGGCGGACGGGUGAGUAAUGUAUGGGUAUCUGCCCGAUAGAGGGGGAUAACUACUGGAAACGGUAGCUAAUACCGCAUACUAUCGGAUGAACCCAUAGGGGAUUAGCUAGUAGGUGGGGUAACGGCUCACCUAGGCGACGAUCCCUAGCUGGUCUGAGAGGAUGACCAGCCACACUGGGACGUAGACACUGUCCAGACUCCUACGUGAGGCAGCAGUGGGGAAUAUUGCACAAUGGGCGCAAGCCUGAUGCAGCCAUGCCGCGUGUAUUAAGAAGGCCUUAGGGUUGUAAAGUACUUUCAGCGGGGAGGCGUUACCCGAAGAAGAAGCACCGGCUAACGCCGUGCCAGCAGCCGCGGUAAUUC
rnacentral:rRNA from 1 species